CCGGACCUGACUGCUAUCGGAUUGGUACUAAGCCAUGCGAGUCGUUGUAGCAAUACAAGGCGGACGGCUCAGUAACACGUAGUCAACCUAACCUAUGGACGUGGAUAACCUCGGGAAACUGAGAAUAAACCGCGAUAGAUCAUAAUGCCUGGAAUGGCUUAUGGUUAAAAUAAUUUAUUGCCGUAGGAUGGGACUGCGGCCUAUCAGCUUGUUGGUGAGGUAAUGGCCCACCAAGGCUAUAACAGGUACGGGCUCUGAGAGGAGAAGCCCGGAGAUGGGUACUGAGACACGGACCCAGGCCCUAUGGGGCGCAGCAGGCGGGAAACCUUAGCAAUGUGCGAAAGCACGACUAGGUUAAUCCGAGUGAUUUCUGUUGAAGAAAUCUUUUGUCAGUCGUAAAACCACAGACGAAUAAGGGGUGGGCAAGUCUGGUGUCAGCCGCCGCGGUAAUACCAGCACCUCGAGUGGUCAGGAGGUUUAUUGGGCCUAAAGCAUCCGUAGCCGGCUAUGCAAGUCUCCGGUUAAAUCCAACUGCUCAACAGAUGGGCUGCCGGAGAUACUACACAGCUAGGGAGCGGGAGAGGUAGACGGUAUUCUGUGGGUAGGGGUAAAAUCCACUGAUCCAUAGAGGACCACCAGUGGCGAAGGCGGUCUACCAGAACGCGUUCGACGGUGAGGGAUGAAAGCUGGGGGAGCAAACCGGAUUAGAUACCCGGGUAGUCCCAGCUGUAAACGAUGCAAACUCGGUGAUGCAUUGACUUAUGGUCAAUGCAGUGCCGCAGGAAGCCGUUAAGUUUGCCGCCUGGGAAGUACGGACGCAAGUCUGAAACUUAAAGGAAUUGGCGGGG
rnacentral:rRNA from 1 species